rnacentral:rRNA from 1 species
AGUGAACGCUGGCGGUAGGCCUAACACAUGCAAGUCGAACGGCAGCACAGUAAGAGCUUGCUCUUACGGGUGGCGAGUGGCGGACGGGUGAGGAAUACAUCGGAAUCUACUUUUUCGUGGGGGAUAACGUAGGGAAACUUACGCUAAUACCGCAUACGACCUACGGGUGAAAGCAGGGGAUCUUCGGACCUUGCGCGAUUGAAUGAGCCGAUGUCGGAUUAGCUAGUUGGCGGGGUAAAGGCCCACCAAGGCGACGAUCCGUAGCUGGUCUGAGAGGAUGAUUCGCCACACUGGAACUGAGACACGGUCCAGACUCCUACGGGAGGCAGCAGUGGGGAAUAUUGGACAAUGGGCGCAGGCCUGAUCCAGCCAUACCGCGUGGGUGAUGAAGGCCUUCGGGUUGUAAAGCCCUUUUGUUGGGAAAGAAAAGCAGCAGGUUAAUACCCCGCUGUUCUGACGGUACCCAAAGAAUAAGCACCGGCUAACUUCGUG